rnacentral:tRNA from 1 species
GGUGCAGUUCAGUGGUAGAGCACGUGCUCAGCAUGCAUGAGGCCCUGGGUUCCAUCCCCAGCACCA